GUAGGUGGCAAGCGUUGUCCGGAAUUAUUGGGCGUAAAGUGCGCGCAGGCGGUUCUUUAAGUCUGAUGUGAAAGCCCACGGCUCAACCGUGGAGGGUCAUUGGAAACUGGAGAACUUGAGUACAGAAGAGGAAAGCGGAAUUCCACGUGUAGCGGUGAAAUGCGUAGAGAUGUGGAGGAACACCAGUGGCGAAGGCGGCUUUCUGGUCUGUAACUGACGCUGAGGCGCGAAAGCGUGGGGAGCAAACAGGAUUAGAUACCCUGGUAGUCCACGCCGUAAACGAUGAGUGCUAAGUGUUAGGGGGUUUCCGCCCCCCUUAGUGCUGCAGCUAACGCAUUAAGCACUCCGCCUGGGAGUACGGCCGCAAGGCUG
rnacentral:rRNA from 1 species